rnacentral:piRNA from 1 species
UGCCUGAAGCUAGUCUGCUGGAUUACUCCUU